rnacentral:lncRNA from 1 species
AUUUUAUGUAUUUAUUUGUCAGACAGAGAGUGAGAAGGAUAGAGAGAGAGUCCACAAGUAGGGGGGAGCAGCAGACAGAGGAAGAAACAGACUCCCCACCGAGCAAGGGGCAUGAUUCAGGACUCGAUCCCAGGGAUCAUGACCCAGGUGGAAGAAGGACACUUAAACAGCUGAAUCAUCCAGAUCUUUGCAGGAAGUUGGAAGGAUGGCUGAUAAGAAGCCCCAGACUCUCUCUUCCACAGAGACACCAGUUCAGCAACAACACCACCAUUCCCUUUGUGAGAAGUCCAGAAAUCCAGACAUGAAACUACUAAGAAACGACAAUAGU